rnacentral:misc_RNA from 1 species
GGGCGUGCUAAGACGCGCUCCUUCUCCUCAACAAAAGCGUAACAGGAAGACGGAAAGAAGCAGAGAGAGGGAAAAAAUUUCAGUUGAUGCAAAAUGGCAGAAGAAGGCACCAAAGCGGAUGCGCAGCUUUUUCAACUCCUUUCCAAUCUCCUCCAGCAAGUGGGUUUGAUUUCAAUUUCGGUUUCACAAUGCUCUUCUUGCUUCAAUUUCAUUAGUUAUUGUUAUUUUUCUCGUAAUGGAUGGUUGAUUUGGGAGUCGGAAUCGGCUUCAUUUAAUCAUAUGGGUAACAUAAAAAUGGCGUCUUUUUGUUGAUUUCACGAUGUUUAUGAUCUGGGUAUCAUCAAGUUGUUCUUGUGGUUGGGGGUGAUUGAAACUCAAACAGCCUGUCUUUAGUUUGUUUAUAUGUUCUUGUCAAUUCAAUUUCGUUUCACCUUUUGGAUUUAGGAAUUGUUUGGCAAUGAUCCUGGGUUCAUUUAGGACCUUUUUGCAAAUAUGAUUCCGUUUUAUUUUGUAUCCGAGCUGUUAACUAUGAGUAAUGUAUAAUUGUGAAUGCUUUUUGAAAUAAAUGUCUUUACACAAAAUAAAAAGGCAAUUUUUAUUUGUUUAAUUGUGGGAAUUAUUGGAAAAUAAUGUUCCUACCGCUCGAAUACAGUUUCUCUCAACACCGCUUAUAUCUGAAGCACCUCUAGCAGCUUUUUCCAACUGAAUUGCAAGCUUUUGGAAAUGUUGUCCUAUUGCCUAAAAGCACUAAACCAAGUCAUUACACCAGACCCAGGAUGUUAUCUGAGUUCCUAAUUUACAUUGUGGCUGGCAAAGAGGACUUGUGGGUUCUUUAAUGGGAGAAUAGAUGAUAUGGCUUGAUGAAGCUUUGAUGAGUUGAUAGAAAAACUUGUCAAUUAUUUCAAUUUAUUGAGUUGGGAAAUAGCUUAAGAAGCUUGCAGAGUAGAUUAAGAUUGCAUGAUUUCAAUGAAAAUAUUUUUUUAUAUAUAGAUUGUGUUUGUUUUGACAACUAUAGAUUGUGUUUGUUAAUAAUCAGUUUGCUUAUGUGCUGUGGCCUCUUGGAUAUUCGUGAUGCUGACAGCAUUUAAAUUGUUUAAUAUAAUAACUUGCUGCAUUUGUUAUGGAAACUAGUUUGAAUGUACCUUGAGCAUGGCGUGAGCUCCUUUUCUUGGGGAAGAUAUGAAGGAUGCAAACUUGUUUUCAUGAUUAAGGAAAAUAAUGCUAGAUGUUAUCUCUUUUUUUCUAAUUUGGUUGGAGGGAGGAAGGUGGUUAAGAUGGGGGAGAGGAGGGACUCAAACUUGGGACCUUAUCCAAUUGAGAGGUGCACCCACAACAAAGCUAAACUUGUGCCUUUGAAAUUAAGGGUUAAGAGGGCUCCACUAUCUCUUGAGUUGCAAAUAAUUGCUGCUUGUAUGCAUACAUGAUAAUGUGAAUCUUUGAUCUUCUCUAUCUGUUCAUUUUUGUGAACUUUUCUUCAUCAUUGUAGGUGGAGGCACUAACCAAUCAAGAAGAAGUUGAAUUGCGAUCCAAAAUUGAAGCACUGGGAUUAGAGGUUACCAAAGUUCCUUCAAAGUCGACAAAGAAUCUUGAUGAGGUAGAUUAAAGUCCUACUUAAACUUGUUUUAAAUGUUACGAGAUUCUUUCAUUUUCUCCUUUAUAUCCGCUGUUGGGAUAAACAUUGUCUCUUGUAGAGUCAGCUUAUUAUAUCUGUUCAUUUUAACCGACAGCUGGAAAUCGCAAGAGAGUUGGAUAAAUUAUCAGCAAAAUUGGAUGAUGUAGAUGAAAUGAUAUCCUCAGCCAUGAAUGCAGAUCCACAGGUACAGUCACUCUUGAGUGGCACUGCUGAUGUAUGGAUGCCAGUUAUUACAGCUACUGCUGAAGAGAGACGUAAUUUUACAGCAGCACUUGGAGAUGAUGCUACUGAAGAAAAGGGGAAAACUUCAAUUUAAUUGCCGCUUGUCUGCUCUCACAGAAAAUAAUCUUUCUUAUAACCUAAUGUGUUUGCCAUAUCUUCCUAAACAUUGAGAUCAUUAUUUUUUUUCUCAAUAUUUUUCAUAUAUUCCAUUUUUCUUGUCCUUCACCUUAUCCUUCUCAUUUAAUGAUAACAUAUGCAUUUCUUAGCUAAUUUGGUAUAAUUUAGAUUCAUUCAACGGUA